CUUUGUGGGGAGAAUUCUGGGAUAACCCGGGUUCGAUUCCCACAAGUGAUUAUUCCCUCUAGGCCAGCUCCCGUGCCUCUCGGAGCGAACGUGGGUGGUC